rnacentral:rRNA from 1 species
UACGAAGGGGGCUAGCGUUGUUCGGAAUUACUGGGCGUAAAGCGCACGUAGGCGGAUCGAUCAGUCAGGGGUGAAAUCCCAGGGCUCAACCCUGGAACUGCCUUUGAUACUGUCGAUCUGGAGUAUGGAAGAGGUGAGUGGAAUUCCGAGUGUAGAGGUGAAAUUCGUAGAUAUUCGCAAGAACACCAGUGGCGAAGGCGGCUCACUGGCCCGAUACUGACGCUGAGGCACGAAAGCGUGGGGAGCAAACAGG